rnacentral:rRNA from 1 species
AUGAACGCUGGCGGCGUGCCUAAUACCUGCCAGUCGAGCGAACAGACGAGGAGCUUGCUCCUCUGACGUUAGCGGCGGACGGGUGAGUAACACGUGGAUAACCUACCUAUAAGACUGGGAUAACUUCGGGAAACCGGAGCUAAUACCGGAUAAUAUAUUGAACCGCAUGGUUCAAUAGUGAAAGACGGUUUUGCUGUCACUUAUAGAUGGAUCCGCGCCGCAUUAGCUAGUUGGUAAGGUAACGGCUUACCAAGGCAACGAUGCGUAGCCGACCUGAGAGGGGGAUCGGCCACACUGGAACUGGGACACGGUCCAGACUCCUAAGGGAGGCAGCAGUAGGGAAUCUUCCGCAAUGGGCGAAAGCCUGACGGAGCAACGCCGCGUGAGUGAUGAAGGUCUUCGGAUCGUAAAACUCUGUUAUUAGGGAAGAACAAAUGUGUAAGUAAAUAUGCCCGGCUUGACGGUAACUAAUCAGAAAGCCACGGCUAACUACGUG